rnacentral:rRNA from 1 species
UUGAACUGAAGAGUUUGAUCAUGGCUCAGAUUGAACGCUGGCGGCAGGCCUAACACAUGCAAGUCGAGCGGUAGAGAGAAGCUUGCUUCUCUUGAGAGCGGCGGACGGGUGAGUAAUGCCUAGGAAUCUGCCUAGUGGUGGGGGAUAACGUUCGGAAACGGACGCUAAUACCGCAUACGUCCUA